GUACGGUGAAACCGCGAAUGGCUCAUUAAAUCAGUCGAGGUUCCUUAGAUGAUCCAUUUCUACUUGGAUAACUGUGGCAAUUCUAGAGCUAAUACAUGCAAACCAGCUCCGACCCGGUGUCACAGCCGGGAAAGAGCGCUUUUAUUAGUUCAAAACCAGUCGGGGUUUCGGCCCCGUCCCUUUUGGUGACUCUGGAUAACUUUGUGCCGAUCGCAUGGCCUCGAGCCGGCGACGCAUCUUUCAAAUGUCUGCCCUAUCAAAUGUCGAUGGUACGUGAUAGGCCUACCAUGUUGACUACGGGUAACGGGGAAUCAGGGUUCGAUUCCGGA
rnacentral:rRNA from 1 species